rnacentral:rRNA from 1 species
GAGUUUGAUCGUGGCUCAGAACGAACGCUGGCGGCAUGCCUAACACAUGCAAGUCGAACGAACUCUUCGGAGUUAGUGGCGCACGGGUGCGUAACGCGUGGGAAUCUGCCCUUGGGUACGGAAUAACUCAGAGAAAUUUGUGCUAAUACCGUAUAAUGACUUCGGUCCAAAGAUUUAUCGCCCAAGGAUGAGCCCGCGUAAGAUUAGCUAGUUGGUGGGGUAAAGGCCUACCAAGGCUACGAUCUUUAGCUGGUCUGAGAGGAUGAUCAGCCACACUGGGACUGAGACACGGCCCAGACUCCUACGGGAGGCAGCAGUGGGGAAUAUUGGACAAUGGGCGAAAGCCUGAUCCAGCAAUGCCGCGUGAGUGAUGAAGGCCUUAGGGUUGUAAAGCUCUUUUACCCGGGAUGAUAAUGACAGUACCGGGAGAAUAAGCUCCGGCUAACUCCGUGCCAGCCGCCGCCGUAAU